AUAGAAAUUUAGUAGUGUAUCAAACCUCUCUCUUUGAAAUUGUGCUCACAUUUCACCCUCUUCAUUAAUGAGUCUUAAGGCUAAAUGACUCCAGAUUGCCACAUGAGCACUAGACAGGAGUCCUGAGACUUUAGUCCUGGCUCUGUUAGCUCUGUGACUGUCAAAAGGAAGACCAUAUAAUCCCCAGCUAAUGAUCCCCACCCACCCCCAUGGACUGCCUCAAAAAACACCAAAGAUUCAUUCUUUUCUAUGGAAGAAACUUUAGAUCUUUUGGCAUGUCAUUCACAACCCUUUGUGAUCUAGCCUCAGACAGCCAUUGUACUUCAUUUCCCUCAGUUACUCUGUGCACCCUCAAUCCCAUCAAAAGCAAAUAUCUUUCUCAUCUCGAGAGUGACCUUUAGGUGGACUUCAUAGCUCUUGCCAUUGCUGAUGAUUCACCUUGUGCUAGAAAGUCUUUGACCAGCUUCUCCUUCCCCAAAUCCUGUACCUCAUGCAAGGCUCGGCUCUUUUGAGACUCAUCCAGGAAAACUUCCCUGCACCUUCUUGUCAGAAUCAAGUAGUCUUUCUGCUGAGCUCUAUUUGCUUGUACCUCUACUAUAGAACUCGCUUUAUUACUCUUUAUUUAUCAUUAAAAGCAGCCCCUUGUCCUGGUGUAGUCAGCUUUCCCCUGACUAAGCAGAAAUAUUUAGAAGUUAAAAUGUGAAUUCUGGAGUCUGAUUGCUUGGGGUUGAACCCCAUCUUUGUCACUUGGCCAACAGGUUACUCAGGCUUAGGUGAGUUAUUUGGACUCUCUGAGUCUCAGUUUUCUCAUCUGUAAAAUGGUGAUAAUAAUAAUAUUUCCCUGCUUGCAUUAUUGUGAGAGUUACCUGAGUUAUCUAUGCAAAGAGUUUCGCACAAUACCUGGCACACAGUAAUCACUCGGUAAGCAUCAGCUGUCAUUGCCCUCCCUGCCUAGAAAGGUAAUUCUGGAGGGCACCAGCCCUGCAAAGUGGAGAUCUGCCUGUCUGGCCUUGUCCCUUUCUUAUCUCCCUUUGCCAUCUCUCUCCUGAAAGGCUCACCCUAGGCUGUGUGGGCCAAGAUGAGGUGAUGGCAGGCUCAUCUGAGAGAGGAGCUUUUUCUUCAGAGCUCAGCCCACACUGUGUGGGCUGUGUUUUUAUACAACUUGCUGUAGGCCUGCAUCAGGUAUGAAAUUUACAUCAUUUGACUUGCCCAUGUGGGAAUCUUCCCCAUUCCUCUUGGCUCCUUAGAAUGGGUACAGGUGUUCAGUGCCUCCUCCUCCCAAUGCUCUUCAGCAGAUGAGGAACCGAGGUCCAAAGAUGAAAACAAGGCUGAUGACUCACCUGUUAGACACAGUUGGCACAGUGCCUGAGGUCUACAGUACUUUUGUUAAACUACAAAAAUGGAUUAAUUCUUUCUUUUAGAAUUAAUUAAUUUCUUUUAGAUUAAUUUCUUUUAGAAUCAGAAGAAAAAAUAAUAUAAUAAUAAUACAUCUAAAAUAAGGAAUCCAGACUCUCAAUUACAUUUAUUUUUAUAACAAUGCAAUCAUAAAGCAUAAUUUUGGAAGAAGGAGCCUAUGAAAGUCAUGAAGUGACCAUGGAUGAAAAGAAAUUUGCCCAAGAUUAAUAGUGGCAAAUUAAAGCACAAGUUCCCGUCUUAUUACCCUCCAAAUAGAAAUUUUUUUCUCUGCAUUUUCAAGAAAACUGGUAGAAUUUAUUUUACCACAGUCAUCUUCUUUCACAAAUAAGAAAACGGACACCUGAGAGAGAGUGUGACUUGCCUAAGGUCUCGCCAACACACAACUAAGUUGUAUUUUCCUAACUCCCUGUUACUCCUUUCACUAUUUAUACAUUCAAACCUAAUGACCACUGAUGUCAACCUCCCAUUAUAUAGAUGGAAACAUCGAGGGCCAGAAAGUUGAAGGGGCUUAUAUGAUGUAACAAGGACCGCCACUCUUGCCUCUAAAUCAGGGCGCCCUCCAGUACCAAGAGGAGCGUUUGAAAACUGGAUACACAAUUUUGUUAGACAGCAGGAAUCACUUCAAGAGAUCUAUUAUACAACAUGAUGACUAUAGUUACUAUUGCACACUUGAAAAUUGCUAGGAAAAUAGAUUUUAAGUGUUCUCACCACAAAAAUUCUAAUAAGCAUGUAAGAUAAUGCAUACUUAAUUAACUUGGUUCAGCCAUUCCAUAAUGUAUACGUAUUUCAUAAUAUCAUGUUGUACAGUAUUAAUAUACAUAAUUUUUGUCAAUUAAAUACAAAUACAAAUAAUACAAACUU
rnacentral:lncRNA from 1 species